UUAUUGCUCUGAAAUUAAUUCCUCAGAUUAUCACAGCAUUCUUCUGAUCCCUUUAGAAACCCCAAGAGCUUGUUUCAAAGACAAUUCUUUUUCCGAUUUACAGCUCUGGACAGCUUCACUAAUUUGUGCUCCAGCCCUGAUCUGGACAAUCCAAGCAUGUAAUAUGCAUGUCAUCCUAAGCACCAACUGCUGAAGUGCCUUUGAGCUGACCACUGACCCCCUAGGCUGCCAUAGUGCAAUUACUCAACUGCCAACAAACCAAGGUUACAGUUGCACAGCGAAGCUUUGGGUGUGAGUGCACAGUGAGUGUAAACCUUCCCCCGCAUGUAACUUUUCCCCAAGGGUGUUGCACCAACAAUACUUGAGCACAACACUUCCAAGACCGCUGGAGGGCCAAAGGCAUGAGUUGUAAUUCUGUUGGAAAAGACUGUUUAUGAAACUCUGGGUUUUUUUUUUUUGUUUUUGUUUUUUGCAGUUGCAAAAUACUUUGAAAGGAAUUCAACUCCAUGCUUUCUCUCAGUAGACUUGUUCUCACCUCGGGUCACACUGCUAUCGUUUUGGCAGCUGACAGGUUUCAAGGAGCGGCGGCUUAUAUCCAAGCAUGAAGUGUGGUUCAUAGGAAGAAAAAGAAACUGCCAACUAAUUCUUCAGAGAGAACGUCUUGUCAUCUCCUAUGUGACAGCAAAAGUCACUGCAGACCAAUCAUGGAGUCAUCUCACACUUCAUGUCACUACACUUCACAUUCAUCAAGUAUGUAGAGAUGGCUACUUGGAUUUUCACAAUAAAGUAACUGCAAGCCUUAGAUAAUGGAAUAAACUGUCAUCAAAGCAGAUACAGAAGAAGCAAAUAAGGUCAACAAUUACUCUCUUUUUAGAUAUAGGUGACAACAAAAUACAAAAUCAACCUGGUUGGCAUAAAAAAUCAAUUAUUGACAUACUCAACACCUUGGAGAAGAAGUUGAUGAUCUGAUCAUCAGGAGAUGCACCUCUGUUUGUCAGGUUGUAGGAGCAUAUUUUCAUUACAUCAGAAAAGGGAUGUAAAAUAAUUUCCAAACAAUUCAAGUUGAUUAUUUUUGUUUGAAAGACUAACAGCACAUGGGAAGCAGACCGCUGACAAUCUUUCCAGUUUUACAUCAUUCCAGAGUCAGACUGUAUGAUGCUGAGAGAACAAGACAAAGCCCAAGAGGGAUUUUAGCAAAUCACCACCUAAAAAGAAUCAGGCAUGGCAGAAAAAGUGUAAUAAUUUGGGAUUCUCCUAAAGUACCAAGUUUGAAUUCCUCCUGAGCAGAGCAGAGUGUUGUAAAGAGAAAAUUGAGGCCAUCUGUUUCACAUCUGAAGCGUGGUCAAAACUGGGACAUGCAACAGGACGAUGAUCCGGUGCAGAGCAGCAGAUCAUCAGAAAACGGUAUAGGAAAAAAUGAACCAUUUACAUGUACCAAAGUGACCGAAAGUUAGGGUAGAUAAUGUUUUUCUACAUAAAAAUAAUCUAAAUUUGAUGGAUCUAAGUUGAGGCAAAUCUUCCAGACAGGUAUGUGUCAUGAUACCCUCACUCAUCAGAGAGCUGAAAAGCCACAGCUCUAACUUAAAAGUGUCAAACAAAACAUGUAAAAAAGAAAAAAAAAGAAAA